rnacentral:rRNA from 1 species
CCUACGGGAGGCAGCAGUAGGGAAUAUUGCUCAAUGGGGGAAACCCUGAAGCAGCAACGCCGCGUGAAGGAUGAAGGUUUUCGGAUUGUAAACUCCUUUUGUUAGGGAAGAUAAUCAGGGUAUCUAACGAAUAAGCACCGGCUAACUCCGUGCCAGCAGCCGCGGUAAUACGGAGGGUGCAAGCGUGACUCGGAAGCAUUGGGCGUAAAGAGGGCGUAGGCGGGAUAGCAAGUCAGAGGUGAAAUCCUACGGCUUAACCAUGGAACUGCAUUUGAAACUGUUAUUAUAGAGUAUGGGAGAGGUAGGUGGAAUUCUUGGUGUAGGGGUAAAAUCCGUAGAGAUCAAGAGGAAUACUCAUUGCGAAGGCGGCCUGCUAGAACAUAACUGACGCUGAGGCGCGAAAGCGUGGGGAGCAAACAGGAUUAGAUACCCCUGUAGUC